AGUGAACGCUGGCGGCAGGCCUAACACAUGCAAGUCGAACGGCAGCACAGGAGAGCUUGCUCUCUGGGUGGCGAGUGGCGGACGGGUGAGGAAUAUAUCGGAAUCUACCCUUUCGUGGGGGAUAACGUAGGGAAACUUACGCUAAUACCGCAUACGAACUGAGGUUGAAAGCGGCGGACCGCAAGGCGUCGCACGGAUGGAUGAGCCGAUAUCCGAUUAGCUAGUUGGCGGGGUAAAGGCCCACCAAGGCGACGAUCGGUAGCUGGUCUGAGAGGAUGAUCAGCCACACUGGAACUGAGACACGGUCCAGACUCCUACGGGAGGCAGCAGUGGGGAAUAUUGGACAAUGGGCGCAAGCCUGAUCCAGCCAUGCCGCGUGUGUGAAGAAGGCCUUCGGGUUGUAAAGCACUUUUGUUGGGAAAGAAAAGCGGUCGGUUAAUACCCGGUCGUUCUGACGGUACCCAAGGAAUAAGCACCGGCUAACUUCGUGCCAGCCGCCGCGGUAAUAC
rnacentral:rRNA from 1 species